rnacentral:rRNA from 1 species
UCAAGCGACUAAGUGCAUCUGGUGGAUGCCUUGGCGAUCACAGGCGAUGAAGGACGUGCAAGCCUGCGAAAAGCAGCGGGGAGCUGGCAAUGGAGCUUUGAUCCGCUGAUGUCCGAAUGGGGAAACCCCUCCGCAAGGAGAUCCCUGGCUGAACACAUAGGCCAGUGGAGGCGAACCGGGAGAACUGAAACAUCUAAGUACCCCGAGGAAAAGAAAUCAACCGAGAUUCCGUAAGUAGUGGCGAGCGAACGCGGAAGAGCCUGUAUGUGUUAUGGAUUGUGUUAGUGGAACGCUCUGGAAAGUGCGGCCAUAGUGGGUGAUAGCCCCGUACACGAAAACGCAUUCCAAGAACUGAGCAUACGAGAAGUAGGGCGGGACACGCGAAAUCCUGUCUGAAGAUGGGGGGACCAUCCUCCAAGGCUAAAUACUCGUGAUCGACCGAUAGUGAACCAGUACCGUGAGGGAAAGGCGAAAAGAACCCCGGGAGGGGAGUGAAAUAGAACCUGAAACCGGAUGCAUACAAACAGUGGGAGCCUGGAAACGGGUGACUGCGUACCUUUUGUAUAAUGGGUCAGCGACUUACAUUCAGUGGCAAGCUUAACCGAAUAGGGGAGGCGUAGGGAAACCGAGUCCGAAUAGGGCGUCUCAGUCGCUGGGUGUAGACCCGAAACCGAGUGAUCUAUCCAUGGCCAGGAUGAAGGUGCGGUAACACGCACUGGAGGUCCGAACCCACUAGUGUUGCAAAACUAGGGGAUGAGCUGUGGAUAGGGGUGAAAGGCUAAACAAACUCGGAGAUAGCUGGUUCUCCCCGAAAACUAUUUAGGUAGUGCCUCAUGUAUCACUUCCGGGGGUAAAGCACUGUUAUGGCUAGGGGGUCAUUGCGAUUUACCAAACCAUGGCAAACUCUGAAUACCGGAAAGUGCGAGCAUGGGAGACAGACGGUGGGUGCUAACGUCCAUCGUCAAGAGGGAAACAACCCAGACCGCCAGCUAAGGUCCCAAAUGAUCAGUUAAGUGGUAAACGAGGUGGGAAGGCCUAGACAGCCAGGAUGUUGGCUUAGAAGCAGCCAUCAUUUAAAGAAAGCGUAAUAGCUCACUGGUCGAGUCGUCCUGCGCGGAAGAUGUAACGGGGCUCAAACUGAUAACCGAAGCUGCGGAUGCAUAUUUAUAUGCGUGGUAGGGGAGCGUUCUGUAGGUCUGUGAAGGUGGUGGUGUAAACCCUGCUGGAGAUAUCAGAAGUGCGAAUGCUGACAUGAGUAGCGAUAAAGCGGGUGAAAAGCCCGCUCGCCGAAAGCCCAAGGUUUCCUACGCAACGUUCAUCGGCGUAGGGUGAGUCGGCCCCUAAGGCGAGGCUGAAAAGCGUAGUCGAUGGGAAACAGGUCAAUAUUCCUGUACCGAUUCUAGAUGCGAUGUGGGGACGGAGAAGGUUAGGUCAGCCAACUGUUGGAAUAGUUGGUUUAAGCGUGUAGGCGUGCCCCUUAGGCAAAUCCGGGGGGCUGAGCUGAGGCGUGAUGACGAGGCACUACGGUGCUGAAGUGAUUGAUACCAUGCUUCCAGGAAAAGCCACUAAGCUUCAGUCUAGAUUCGACCGUACCGCAAACCGACACAGGUGGGCAGGAUGAAAAUUCUAAGGCGCUUGAGAGAACUCAGGAGAAGGAACUCGGCAAAUUGACACCGUAACUUCGGGAGAAGGUGUGCCCCGGUAGGUUGUAGAGAUUUACUCUCGAAGGCCGAUGGGGUUGCAGUGAAAUGGUGGCUGCGACUGUUUAAUAAAAACACAGCACUCUGCAAACACGAAAGUGGACGUAUAGGGUGUGACGCCUGCCCGGUGCUGGAAGAUUAAAUGAUGGGGUGCAAGCUCUUGAUUGAAGUCCCAGUAAACGGCGGCCGUAACUAUAACGGUCCUAAGGUAGCGAAAUUCCUUGUCGGGUAAGUUCCGACCUGCACGA